GAUGAACGCUGGCGGCGUGCCUAAUACAUGCAAGUCGAGCGAACAGACGAGGAGCUUGCUCCUCUGACGUUAGCGGCGGACGGGUGAGUAACACGUGGAUAACCUACCUAUAAGACUGGGAUAACUUCGGGAAACCGGAGCUAAUACCGGAUAAUAUAUUGAACCGCAUGGUUCAAUAGUGAAAGACGGUUUUGCUGUCACUUAUAGAUGGAUCCGCGCCGCAUUAGCUAGUUGGUAAGGUAACGGCUUACCAAGGCAACGAUGCGUAGCCGACCUGAGAGGGUGAUCGGCCACCCUGGAACUGAGACACGGUCCAGACUCCUACGGGAGGCAGCAGUAGGGAAUCUUCCGCAAUGGGCGAAAGCCUGACGGAGCAACGCCGCGUGAGUGAUGAAGGUCUUCGGAUCGUAAAACUCUGUUAUUAGGGGAGAACAAAUGUGUAAGUAACUAUGCACGUCUUGACGGUACCUAAUCAGAAAGCCACGGCUAACUACGUG
rnacentral:rRNA from 1 species